rnacentral:rRNA from 1 species
AACGAACGCUGGCGGCGUGCCUAACACAUGCAAGUCGAGCGGGAAAGCUCCUUCGGGGGCGAGUACAGCGGCGAACGGGUGAGUAACACGUAGGUAACCUACCCCGGAGACCGGGAUAACCUGUCGAAAGACGGGCUAAUACUGGAUAAGACCACGCGAGCUGCGGCUCGUGAGGUAAAAGGUGGCCUCUGCUUGCAAGCUAUCACUUCGGGAUGGGCCUGCGCGCCAUUAGCUAGUUGGUGAGGUAAUGGCUCACCAAGGCCGAGAUGGCUAGCUGGUCUGAGAGGAUGGCCAGCCACACUGGGACUGAGACACGGCCCAGACUCCUACGGGAGGCAGCAUG